AUUGAACGCUGGCGGCAGGCUUAACACAUGCAAGUCGAACGGUAACAUGAAGAAGCUUGCUUCUUUGAUGACGAGUGGCGGACGGGUGAGUAAUGCUUGGGAAUCUAGCUUAUGGAGGGGGAUAACUACGGGAAACUGUAGCUAAUACCGCGUAGUAUCGAGAGAUGAAAGUGUGGGACCUUCGGGCCACAUACCAUAGGAUGAGCCCAAGUGGGAUUAGGUAGUUGGUGAGGUAAAGGCUCACCAAGCCGACGAUCUCUAGCUGGUCUGAGAGGAUGACCAGCCACACUGGGACUGAGACACGGCCCAGACUCCUACGGGAGGCAGCAGUGGGGAAUAUUGCGCAAUGGGGGCAACCCUGACGCAGCCAUGCCGCGUGAAUGAAGAAGGCCUUCGGGUUGUAAAGUUCUUUCGGUAGCGAGGAAGGCAUUUAGUUUAAUAGACUAGGUGAU
rnacentral:rRNA from 1 species